AUUGAACGCUGGCGGCAGGCCUAACACAUGCAAGUCGAGCGGCAGCACGGGUACUUGUACCUGGUGGCGAGCGGCGGACGGGUGAGUAAUGCCUAGGAAUCUGCCUGGUAGUGGGGGAUAACGCUCGGAAACGGACGCUAAUACCGCAUACGUCCUACGGGAGAAAGCAGGGGACCUUCGGGCCUUGCGCUAUCAGAUGAGCCUAGGUCGGAUUAGCUAGUUGGUGAGGUAAUGGCUCACCAAGGCGACGAUCCGUAACUGGUCUGAGAGGAUGAUCAGUCACACUGGAANUGAGACACGGUCCAGACUCCUACGGGAGGCAGCAGUGGGGAAUAUUGGACAAUNGGCGAAAGCCUGAUCCAGCCAUGCCGCGUGUGUGAAGAAGGUCUUCGGAUUGUAAAGCACUUUAAGUUGGGAGGAAGGGCAUUUACCUAAUACGUAAGUGUUUUGACGUUACCGACAGAAUAAGCACCGGC
rnacentral:rRNA from 1 species